rnacentral:rRNA from 1 species
GACGAACGCUGGCGGCGUGCUUAACACAUGCAAGUCGAGCGGUAAGGCCCUUUCGGGGGUACACGAGCGGCGAACGGGUGAGUAACACGUGGGUGACCUGCCCUCAGCUCUGGGAUAAGCCUGGGAAACCGGGUCUAAUACCGGAUAUGACUCCAUGACGCAUGUUGUGGGGUGGAAAGCCUUGUGCGGCUGAGGAUGGGCCCGCGGCCUAUCAGCUUGUUGGUGGGGUGAUGGCCUACCAAGGCGACGACGGGUAGCCGGCCUGAGGAGGGCCGACCGGCCACACGUGGGACUGAGAC